GAAAAAAAUGAUGAAAAUAGACAAUGACGUAUGGCGUUUAAUACGACUAACUAAGAUAUAAAUGAGUGGCGGGAAUUAUAUUGGACAAACCUCAUAGCUGUGUUGUUGAAUAUGUUCAUUUAAAGUUAGCGCAGAUGCUAACGCGGCCUACCAGGACCGACACAUCCCCGGACUCACCUGCUCCUCCAAUUCGCUCCGGAAACACAGGCAGGCAGCCCGCUUCUUGUAGCCGUCCCCGUCGUACGUUCGGGUCUGGUUGGACUUGAGCUUCAUCAUCGCGGGGCGGAGGUUGGGAGGCGCAGACGUUCCCCCCAACAACAACACUAAAAAGCAGCGGCGAAGUCGAGCACGUCAGCGGGGGCGCGGAGAAGUCCUCCUCCUUGGCAAAUCAGUGGAAAUAACUUCUUCUUCGCUCCAUUUUCACAGAGAGAGAGCUUGGGCGCAUCCGCGGCACGGUCGCCAUUACAAGGAGCCACUGCGCUCACGACGUGUAGAGGGAGAUGUGGCCAGUGCUGCCUGCAGGAGCAAAUGUCACCACCUCUGUCCAUGGUGCUGAGGACAGAGCCCCAUCAGACGGGGUGUGGCAGUGCUGACGGCGAGACACAGCUGGCAGUGAGCGGCCGGGAGCAGGAGGGCAGAGAGGAUACGGACACGGCUGAAAAGUCGCGUCCUUCAGGAGAGAAACUUUUGUUAAAAACCUAUGUUUAUUCACACCUUGUUAAAACCUGCAUGCUGGGCUCCUGUGCCGUGUCUGACAACAGGACUGCGAGGACGCAAUUAUCACACAACGUAACCAAUUACUGGUAUCAGUUAUAGUAAACAAUAACAUGUAAACCAAAAUUAUUUUAUUUGCACAAAUACUUCUCUUUUGUUGGGAAUUGUUCUAAAAUAUUGGCUAUAAUCUUAUUUUGGUUGUGUUUUUUUGUAAACAUUUCCUAAGGCGGCGCCAGAUUUCCAUGCUUUGGCAGCAGUGACAUGACCAGUUUGAAUUGUUUCUCUCGCCUAAAAAAAAUGUCUAGCAUUUUAACAUUAUUGGGGGGGACAAAAAGUACACAAAUAGUUAGUAAGAUUACAAUGCAUUAAUUGACAUUAAAAUUACAAAUAAAACUGCAAUACCAAUUAAAACAUAAAGAAAUACAGGGUGUGUGUACCCUUUUGGAAUAACGCACCCAAAAAGUGAGUUGAAAAAAAUAAAUAAAUGAAAUAACUCCAUCCAUCCAUCCAUCCAUCCAUUUUCUACUGCUUCUCCUUUUCGGAGGUUGCAGGG